rnacentral:rRNA from 1 species
UAAAGCCUACGGGGGGCAGCAGUGAGGAAUAUUGGUCAAUGGGCUUACGCCUGAACCAGCCAAGUCGCGUGAGGGAAGACUGCCCUAUGGGUUGUAAACCUCUUUUGUCAGGGAGCAACGCCGGCUACGUGUAGCCGGACUGAGAGUACCUGAAGAAAAAGCAUCGGCUAACUCCGUGCCAGCAGCCGCGGUAAUACGGAGGAUGCGAGCGUUAUCCGGAUUUAUUGGGAUUAAAGGGUGAGUAGGCGGAAUGCCAAGUCAGCGGUAAAAUCGCGGGGAUCAACGUCGCUCCGCCGUUGCAACUG